CAAUAGCGUAUAUUAAAGUUGUUGCGGUUAAAAAGCUCGUAGUUGGAUUUCUGCCGAGAACGACCGGUCCGCCCUUUGGGUGUGUAUCUGGCUCUUUCUUGGCAUCUUCUUGGUGAACGUUGCUGCACUUGACUGUGUGGAGCGCUACCCAGGACUUUUACUUUGAGGAAAUUAGAGUGUUUCAAGCAGGCAUACGCCUUGAAUACAUUAGCAUGGAAUAAUAAGAUAGGACCUCGGUUCUAUUUUGUUGGUUUCUAGAGCUGAGGUAAUGAUUAAUAGGGAUAGUUGGGGGCAUUCGUAUUUAACUGUCAGAGGUGAAAUUCUUGGAUUUGUUAAAGUCGGACUACUGCGAAAGCAUUUGCCAAGGAUGUUUUCAUUGA
rnacentral:rRNA from 1 species